CUGGCUCAGGAUGAACGCUAGCUACAGGCUUAACACAUGCAAGUCGAGGGCAGCAUGACGAUAGCUUGCUAUGUUGAUGGCGACCGGCGCACGGGUGAGUAACGCGUAUCCAACCUUCCCUAUAGUAGAGGAUAGCCCGGCGAAAGUCGGAUUAAUACUCUAUGUUUUCCAAUGCAGACAUCUAAGUUGGAACAAAGGUUCACCGCUAUAGGAUGGGGAUGCGUCUGAUUAGAUAGUAGGCGGGGUAACGGCCCACCUAGUCGACGAUCAGUAGGGGUUCUGAGAGGAAGGUCCCCCACAUUGGAACUGAGACACGGUCCAAACUCCUACGGGAGGCAGCAGUGAGGAAUAUUGGUCAAUGGGCGAGAGCCUGAACCAGCCAAGUAAGCGUGCAGGAUGAUGGCCCUAUGGGUUGUAAACUGCUUUUAUCGGGGGAUAAAGUGAGGGACGUGUCCCUUUUUGUAGGUACCCGAUGAAUAAGGACCGGCUAAUUCCGUGCCAGCCGCGGC
rnacentral:rRNA from 1 species